rnacentral:rRNA from 1 species
GAAGCAGCUUGCUGCUUUGCUGACGAGUGGCGGACGGGUGAGUAAUGUCUGGGAAACUGCCUGAUGGAGGGGGAUAACUACUGGAAACGGUGGCUAAUACCGCAUAACGUCGCAAGACCAAAGAGGGGGACCUUCGGGCCUCUUGCCAUCAGAUGUGCCCAGAUGGGAUUAGCUAGUUGGUGAGGUAACGGCUCACCAAGGCGACGAUCCCUAGCUGGUCUGAGAGGAUGACCAGCCACACUGGAACUGAGACACGGUCCAGACUCCUACGGGAGGCAGCAGUGGGGAAUAUUGCACAAUGGGCGCAAGCCUGAUGCAGCCAUGCCGCGUGUAUGAAGAAGGCCUUCGGGUUGUAAAGUACUUUCAGCGGGGAGGAAGGUGUUGUGGUUAAUAACCGCAGCAAUUGACGUUACCCGCAGAAGAAGCACCGGCUAACUCCGUGCCAGCAGCCGCGGUAAUACGGAGGGUGCAAGCGUUAAUCGGAAUUACUGGGCGUAAAGCGCACGCAGGCGGUCUGUCAAGUCGGAUGUGAAAUCCCCGGGCUCAACCUGGGAACUGCAUUCGAAACUGGCAGGCUUGAGUCUUGUAGAGGGGGGUAGAAUUCCAGGUGUAGCGGUGAAAUGCGUAGAGAUCUGGAGGAAUACCGGUGGCGAAGGCGGCCCCCUGGACAAAGACUGACGCUCAGGUGCGAAAGCGUGGGGAGCAAACAGGAUUAGAUACCCUGGUAGUCCACGCCGUAAACGAUGUCUACUUGGAGGUUGUGCCCUUGAGGCGUGGCUUCCGGAGCUAACGCGUUAAGUAGACCGCCUGGGGAGUACGGCCGCAAGGUUAAAACUCAAAUGAAUUGACGGGGGCCCGCACAAGCGGUGGAGCAUGUGGUUUAAUUCGAUGCAACGCGAAGAACCUUACCUGGUCUUGACAUCCACAGAAGAAUCCAGAGAUGGAUUUGUGCCUUCGGGAACUGUGAGACAGGUGCUGCAUGGCUGUCGUCAGCUCGUGUUGUGAAAUGUUGGGUUAAGUCCCGCAACGAGCGCAACCCUUAUCCUUUGUUGCCAGCGGUCCGGCCGGGAACUCAAAGGAGACUGCCAGUGAUAAACUGGAGGAAGGUGGGGAUGACGUCAAGUCAUCAUGGCCCUUACGACCAGGGCUACACACGUGCUACAAUGGCGCAUACAAAGAGAAGCGACCUCGCGAGAGCAAGCGGACCUCAUAAAGUGCGUCGUAGUCCGGAUUGGAGUCUGCAACUCGACUCCAUGAAGUCGGAAUCGCUAGUAAUCGUGGAUCAGAAUGCCACGGUGAAUACGUUCCCGGGCCUUGUACACACCGCCCGUCACACCAUGGGAGUGGGUUGCAAAAGAAGUAGGUAGCUUAACCUUCGGGAGGGCGCUUACCACUUUGUGAUUCAUGACUGGGGUGAAGUCGUAACAAGGUAACCGUAGGGGAACCUGCGGUUGGAUCACCUCCUUACCUUAAAGAA